GAUGAACGCUGGCGGCGUGCCUAAUACAUGCAAGUCGAGCGAACAGAUGAGGCGCUUGCUCCUCUGACGUUAGCUGCGUACGGGUGAGUAACACGUGGAUAACCUACCUAUAAGACUGGGAUAACUUCGGGAAACCGGAGCUAAUACCGGAGAAUAUAUUGAACCGCAUGGCUCAAUAGUGAAAGACGGUUUUGCUGUCUCUUAUAGAUUGAUCAGCGCCGCAUUGGAUAGUUGGGAAGGUAGCGGCUUAACAAGGCAACGAUGCGUAUCCGACCUGAGAGGGAGGACGGACACACUGGAACAGAGGCACGGUCCAGACUCCGACGGGAGGAAGCAGUAGGGAAUCUUACGCGAUGGGCGAAAGCGUGACGGAGCAACGCCGCGGGAGUGAUGAAGGUCUGCGGAUCGUAAAGCUCUGUUAUUAGGGAGGAACAAAUGUGUAAGUAACUAUGCACGUCUUGACGGUACCUAAUCAGAAAGCCACGGCUAACUACGUG
rnacentral:rRNA from 1 species